rnacentral:lncRNA from 1 species
UUUUUAUUCCGAAAAAGAGGUAGACAAAAGGUACUAUACUGUAGGAGCCAGACUAAUUCGUCUAGAGGAUAAGAAUGAAAAACAUUCCAGCAAUAUGAAGAAUCACAGAGAACGUGAAGUAACAUCGCAAUAGGAAAAACUGUUAUUUUCUUCUAGUCCUCCCUACUUCAGAAUUACUACAGCUAUUUCACCUACCACAGUUUUCAGAUUAGUCUGACCUGUCCUAUCAGUCUCAUCGUUGAAUCAGCACAGUGGGCAACCACCCUGUGUCAACAUCAUGUGUGCAGUGUAGGGGAAGGCUGGAAGAUGAGAUCUGUACAAGAGCACUGAGGAGGAGCAUAGAGGUGAAAUAUGGACUGUUGCUGAAUGUAGAAAUUGCAAAUUGGGUUUGCUCAAAAAAAAAAUCAUAGCCUGACUUUGAAAUU